UUACGGCCAUAUCACACCGAAACACCAGUUCUCAUAUGAUCACAAAAGUUAAGCUACAUUGAGUCUGGUCAGUACCUAGAUGGGUGACUGCUUGGGAAUGCCAGGAACUGUAAG